CUCACACACAGAUACUUAUCCUGACACACAGAUACAUACCCUGAGACACAGAUACACAAAGCACAGGGGUGCUGUGUUUGUGUGUGUGAAGGUUGCUACGUGUGUGUGUGUCUGUGUGUGUAAGGGUUGCGCUGUGUGUGUGUCGGAGGUGCUGUGUCUGAGGGGUGCUCUGUGUGAGGGGUGCUCUGUGUGUGUAUGUGUGUGUGUAGGGUGCUGUGUGUGAUAGGUGCUUUGUGUGUGUGUGUGGGGUGCUGUGUUAGU